CCACAUGUCUCUUAUUUUUGUACGCCAUCAGAUGGUGCCUUGGGAUAUGGGGCAUGGAAGAGGAGAAGGAGUCCUUCUCUAGGGAAAAACUCCAUGCCAAAAUAGAUAAGGAACGCCCACUUUUUUAUGCAAUGAAAUGGAAGAGUCCAUUUCAUAACAAACUCUUAAUUCUUCCUUUAAUUCUCCACGUGUUUCUUAAUUCCUCGUGACAUGAGAUGCCUCUUAGGAUUAUGGGCACAGA
rnacentral:lncRNA from 1 species